rfam:Drosophila ananassae strain TSC#14024-0371.13 Ctg01_9168, whole genome shotgun sequence.
AAAAAGGCCCUUUUCAGGGCCACAACAUCAUUUUAUCAAAGAACAC